rnacentral:rRNA from 1 species
UACGUAGGGUGCAAGCGUUGUCCGGAAUUAUUGGGCGUAAAGAGCUCGUAGGCGGUUUGUCGCGUCGAAUGUGAAAACCCGGGGCUCAACCCCGGGCCUGCAUUCGAUACGGGCAGACUAGAGUUCGGUAGGGGAGUCUGGAAUUCCUGGUGUAGCGGUGAAAUGCGCAGAUAUCAGGAGGAACACCAAUGGCGAAGGCAGCUCGCUGGGACGGUACUGACGCUGAGACGCGAAAGCGUGGGGAGCAAACAGG